UGUAAAGCAGUGUGCCAGCGUUUCCAUGAAUGUGUUUAUAAUGGACAUUGCCUAUACAAGUAGGGUACUGUCUCUUCAUUGGACUUAUUGUAUCUUCGGUAACCAUUUUAUCCUGGUUAGGGUCAUAGUGGGUCUGGAGCAUAUCAUGGGAAUACUGGGCACAAGGUGAGAAUACACCCUAGAUGGAAUGCUGCUCACUAUUUCACUGUUGCACUGUGGGACGAGGAACUAAGGAAGAAUAUUUCACUACAAUAAUACACCACAUGUAUGUAAUGUAUGUGACAAAUAGAAAACCUUGAACUUGAAUGCCAGUCCAUCAGAAGGCAGCAUUGCAAAUACAUGUUCAAUUUAUCUUAGCCAGUCCACCUACAUGCAUGUUUUUGGGAGGUGAGAGCAAACCAGAGAACUUGGAGGAAACCCAUUUGGUCAGUAACCCGAGCCAGACUUAUUGUAGGUCCACUAAACCGUCAAACCUUUCUACAAACAUGCCCUCAAUCAAUUGUGAUUCUCUGCUUCCCUACCGGAUGUUAUCCAGAGUUUGAAAGCAGGGGUGUGCUACUCUGGGCUGCAGCUGUUGUCCUGCUUACAGGAAUAAGAAUCUGAUCCAUGCACAACAUUAUCUAGCAGGGAAAGUUUAGCAGCCUAAAGAAGAGCCCACCACUGAUACACAGCCUGAAACCUGGACCUGUCUGGUGCUUAGAUACAACAACAAAACAACAUAGCAACAGAGGGCCUUACAGGAAUGUGGAGGCCCAUUACAAGAAAUCAACCACUGAUAUGCUCUUUCAGUGGCUUUCUGAGAAACUGUGAAGAAGUAAAUGUCACUGUAUAUUUGAGGGUUUCUAAAGAAAGUUCCAAACUAUUUCUUUAAUAGGCUUUUUCUUCAGUACAAGAUUAUUGCUGUGUACUCAGAUCUAAAGCAUACAGAGAAUACACAAAGGUCAUUCUUGAUUUACCACUAGCAGUAGCACUCUUAUUCCAGGUUUGGUGCCAAGAAUGGAUGUAGAACAUGUGGGCAGACCCGUACUUUGUGAUAUGACAAAAGAGGCAAAGGAAUUUUAUAUCUGUAAUUAUAUGGCUACAUCCAUACAGUCUUGAGGAUUUUCUGAGAUGAUUUAUGAUUUAUUAUGUCACUUUUCCUAGUAUGUCCUUUUAAGGCAAGUCUGUUUUGACUGACCUUCUGAAGUCUCUGAAGCCUAAACUCCCUUGGCUUCAAGUAAAAUGGCAAAGCACAAUGUCAGUCUGUGUGACAUUUUACUGUAUCACCAGGCCAGGAUUAGAGCACGGUCCUGAAAUCACUGUGCCUUAGAGACUCGGGUCAAAAUAGCUGUUGCCACAAUAUAUUUAAUCAUCACUGUCAUGAGCUUAGCUUACCACAUGUUUAACAGUUCUCCCUGGGAAAAAGUAAAAAAGUAACGUGAGCACUUGCACGGAUCUAUCUUCAGUGACAUGACUCUAUACUCUGUGUGCUCUGUAGAAGAAAUAACACAGGCUCAAGAAGCAAUGCUCAUAUAUACACUGUCUUGCAUAAGUAUCCUCCCCUUUUGACUAAUGCCCUUCUUACCCCAGUGACUUCUGGUGGAGGGCCUCCUCUAGGUAGAGCCACAGUUAUAUAAUAAUAGAUUAUAUGGUGCUCAGUCAGAAAUCUAACAUUUGGGAUAUUUUUUUUAUAAUCAAACCUUGACUGAUACUUUUCCAGAACUUUGUUCCAGACUUGGUUUGAUAACUUCUUGGUCUUAAUGAUGCAGUUUAUUUAGGUAAGAACUCUAGAACAUCCAGGAACAAUUGCAUUUAUUCUAUGAUUUGAACUUCAUGAUUCAAGUUCAAAAUAAAUCUAUUUCAUUGUUACACUACAAAAAGCAGAAAAGUUUAAGGGAGUGAAUACUUAUGCAAGCCAAUGUACAUAUUCAUAUAGAAGGCCAUCAUUUUCUCAUGUAAGAGUAUCUGUUCAAUAUUAAAUUACAAUUACCUUUCCAUAUUUCAGGAAAGGAGAAGAGCCGAGAUAAUUAUUUAGAGUGCAUCAUGAGAGAUCUCAGCUAUGAUGACAUCCAACCUCUGAUAGGAGUCUAUGCAUAAACAAUCCCAGACCAUUACCAGUAAGAGUGCCUUUCAGACUCAUCUAUGAUUUCUGUGAUGUUUCAGAGGAAAUGAGGGUGAGAUUGUUGGAUAGCUUACUUUCAUUGGUCUUCAGUCUAUCACAGUCAUACCUUACACAGUAAUGAAUUUCUUUAAUUCCUACAAUAAAAUACUGCCCUCAACCCAGUGUAAUACUUUGAAUGUGUUUUACGGGGUGAUUCUUUAUAUUAUGUGGUAUUCUGAUAAAUAUUUAUAAUACUAGCUGAUUACUGUAUUAAAAGAUCUUAAAUUAAUACAUGAGUAUAGGCUACCUAUAAAAUAACAGCCCUUGUUUUACAGUAAAUGCUGUUAUCAAUAUACAAUGUAAUCCUUUAAAAAUACAGUGCAAUUUGCCAUUACUGUUAAAACAUUACUGUAAAAAUGCUGUAAAUAUUAUUUAUAGUAACUACCUGGCAUGUCUUCUGCCAGUAAGAUACCUUCAGCAUAUCUAGUGCUUCCUGAAUUAAUCUGACAAAAUGUCUGUUUUUAACUUUCUGCCUCAAUGGGGAAGAAAAAGCAGUUGCAGUCUUCUUCCCUGUGAAAGGGUGUGUCUCCAUCAGUGUGGGAUGAAAGCAGUUCUAGAUGGACAUCAUCCAGCGAGGGUUGGAUUAAUCUGCUCUAAUGCACUGUGAACUCAGUUUUAUCCUCAUUAACAAGAUUUGUACAACAACAGAUUGAAAAAGAGAGCAGGCAAGUCACUGGUAACUAACUUCCUACUUACCCUAGCCCUUGUUCCAGCCCCUUGCUUCAAUUUACAGAGUAUAGGAUUUUUUUUUAUUAAAAAAAUUAUUAUUGAGUCAUAGGACAAAAAAGUAAUCUGAUGUUCUUGAGCAAUCCUAAUAGUAAUUCAUAGUCAGCACUGUGUCAAGGGUGUCAGGUCAGAAUUGGCAAGAAAUUUGUCAGCUCAGAUACAUUAAAUGUUAUCAUGCCCAACUUCAGGAAUGAAAAACACCUGGCUAUGUGGUGACCGGUAGAAGCUGCAGCCAAUCAGAUGAGAGAGUGAGAGAUCAUGUGAGUGUAAAGAAAACAUGCUUAAAAAGAACAUUAAUGAGUACAGUGGAGAACAUCCAGCAAACCCCACCAAAAAUGGUUUGCAAAUUUAUCUCACAACAGCAUUUUUCUCCCACAGAAGGCAAAUUCCAAAAUCUUAUAUCCUGUAACUUUCAGAGAGACCAUUUGGAAUCUGUGCUGUAACCCUGAUCAGUAACACGAUGCAUAAAUUAUAGCAUAUGGUAUAAAGCAAUAUACAACAUGUAAACAGUCAAGUGCAUAUUCUCAAUAUGCUGAACUGUGUACAUACUAUCCUGUACACACUCUGAAAUAUGCACAUAUCACAAUUACAAUCAAUUCUAUACAUGACUGCUUCUUGCUUUUUUACAUUUAUACUUUCAGCACAUUCUGUAUUCUGAUCUUACCACAAAACCAAAGAAUAAUCUCUUUCAUAAUAACUGGAUCAUUUAUGUAACUUUUAUCUUAUGCUAUUCUUGAUUUUGAGUGUAUGUGAGCAACAAAGUAAAAUUCAUCAUAAGUGAAUCUUAAGUGUAGCUAGGUAUACAAUAUGCUAAACAUUUAACACAAUGCGUGGGAUCCAUCUAAUCGCUUCAUUACUGCAAUCAUUAAGGAUGUGAAUUACACAGGACUGGUUGUUCAAUGUUAGUAUGCUCUUAUGUUUUUUUUAAAAUAGAAACCCAGUUAACAAGCACUCAUGUGUUGGAAACCCCUGGCGGCCUCUUCAGCUCCUACAUCAGAAAUUCCAGGCACUGGGCCACUUUUUAGAGGUGGCUGGGGAGCUGGAAAUGGCCACUAGCCUGUAAAACCAACGCUGCCUUCCUGUCUGAAAAGAAAGACCAUAGCACAAUGUGCUAUGCUGUGCCAACAAAACCUGCCACACUCCUGAGCCAUCCCAGGAGAAAGGAAAGAUGUAAUAAGUGGGCAGAAAUCUAAUUCUGCAUCCAGGCAAAAUAUAAUGAGGAAAUUUGGCAUGAGCUCCAAUGUAGUUUUUGUUGCCUUCUGCUUAGUAAUUGUUACCAGACUAAAUGUGACGUGGACUUGCAUAAAGGCCUCAAACAGGGUAAUGUUGCACAGCAACCAAGCAAACACAGAAAAAUAGGUACAGUGAUAAAGAGGAAAUAAGGAUAUAGAUUCAUCCUAAAAAUACAUAUGAUACAUAUGUUGUUGACUGAUCUGUUGAUCACUAUAGUGAAAGAACAAUGCAUUCUCUUGUAGUGCAUGUUCAGGUGCUUCACUACUUCAUCAUGAAAGACUGUAGAUUACAUCAUUGUUUUUGUAAGAAAACAAAGCUUUCAUUUCCGCUGUCAGUCAACUGUUAAUCAUGCCUGGGAGGCCACCGGUAGCUGCUUUUGGAUACUGUAAUACAGAGACUUAUCUGAUGCAUAUUUCUUGCAUGAGCUUUAUGGAGCCCCUCAGGAUGUACUGUAAUGUUGUUUCAUUGUUGCAGGAUUUUUCGGGGGAUAAGGCAUUUAAAAAAUGAGUGUUUCUGUGAAAGCUCAUAUCUAAUACCAAAUAUAUAGUCCUUCCACAACACGACUCUAUGUCUUUCAAUGUCAUAAAACUAGAAAACACAUGAUCAGUUCAUAUGAACAUAUGAUCAUUUGUAAGCCGAUUACCAAAGACUAUCUUUCUUCAAUAUCCCCAGUAGCGUUUCUUUUUUGCUGUUCUAUAUUACACAUGGCCUUAAUUACAAUAGCCUAAGUUACCAAAGAUCCACUGAUAGGUUGUCAUAAUAAUAACAACUCUCCCUUACUACCCUUGACUUUUGCCACACAUUGAUUCCACUCCUUCAGUAUUAUAAUAUUAGCUUCAUUACUUUGCAUUCUUUUCUCUGUAGAUGUUGUAUAAUAAGCCGUAGGGCUUGGAAGUAAAGGAAGGAGCAUCAGAACACUUGGAGGCAAAUGCUCUUUGUGCUGAUACUAGCUUGGAUUGUCACAGAUUAGUCUAUAUAUAGAGACCUAACACACACUGUACAGCAAUACUAACCACUGAACUGAUGUAUAAACCACUGUCUAGUUUUCAUAGUUUUAAAACUGAUAGUUCACUUAGAAGAUAAUUCUUCUCAGCACAUUUUGAGUAAAAAUAAAAUUCUCUCUCUCUCUCUCUCUCUCUCUCUCUUUCUCUGUGUGUAUGUGUGUGCCACACCCACACUUUUGAGAAUAAUAAUAAUAAAGGCACAGAACACUCUGAAACCCACUGCUAAUAUAACCCCCCCAAUUUCACACUAUGAUGAGCUGUGAUGUGAUGUACCUCCAUUUGCUCUUCAGUACAAGCUGCAUCCUGUAAAUAAUACAAACUUCUUCUAAAUAAAAGCUGUGCAGAUGACAUUAGUUUUUUUUACUGAUAGAGCAGCACCCCCUAGUGGUUAGUGAGCUUUACCAGUAGAAAUGGGGUUUUGGAGAGAUCAAAAUUUAAUAAACAACAUUCUCAUGGCUACUAAAACACCCCAUAUUACAGUAAAGACAUGACAUCUAAAAGCAAUAAAGAGCUACAAAUUAAAAACUUAAUUUAAAAACAAAUCUACAGAGGUUUUACUUAAAUGACUAAUAUGACAUUUUAGCUCUGAGGUCAUGCAGGAACCAUUUAGACUUGGUACUGGAUACUGUAGCUGUCAUGAGAAAUAAAUAGAGCAGAGCAUGUGGUUCUCUGAGACGUUUGCUCAU